UUUAAAGUUGAAGACAGUAUAUAAUUCAUCAAGAACAGUGGAAUCCAGAAUUAAGCCUCAAAUUUGACUGAUUUACUAUAGAACAAAUAGUACGAAAAUUCACCGGUCCGAGUCCUAGAUAAGAAAUAAGAAAAAUUGGAACUGGUUGAUGGAUAUGGAUGAAACUUUGCAUCAGUGAUGUGUUUAUGAAAAGAAGUCAGGAAAAUAAAGGAUAACUGACAGACCGUGCAGUUACCAAAGCCUGGGUUUGAGUAAAGGACCUUACCUUAUCCUGGUAAAGAUCUAUGGAAGGACUCCUUCAGCUCAGUUUGGCAGCAGCUUUGUCAGGACACAUUGAGAAGGUAAUAA